rnacentral:rRNA from 1 species
AUUGAACGCUGGCGGCAGGCCUAACACAUGCAAGUCGAACGAGUGGCGGACGGGUGAGUAAUGUCUGGGAAACUGCCCGCUGGAGGGGGAUAACUACUGGAAACGGUAGCUAAUACCGCAUACCCUCGGAUUUUCCCAGAGUGGAUUAGCUAGUCGGUGGGGUAACGGCUCACCUAGGCGACGAUCCCUAGCUGGUCUGAGAGGAUGACCAGCCACACUGGAACUGAGACACGGUCCAGACACCUACGGGAGGCAGCAGUGGGGAAUAUUGCACAAGGGGCGCAAGCCUGAUGCAGCCAGGCCGAGUGUAUGAAGAAGGCCGUCGGGUUGUAAAGUACGUUCAGCGAGGAGGCGGUACUCGCAGAAGAAGCACCGGCUAACUCCGUGCCAGCAGCCGCGGUAAUUC